CCUAGUCUGAUAUUUGCUACAUACUGUACUUAGUGUUAUAUAAGUAUUACAUAAAUGAAUGCUUGUGUGAAUGUAGUAAGACUUCUAUUUCCAGUGACCCUGUCACUGAAGCUAAGCGUAAGAGCAAGUACUAUUUGUAGUACAGAGCAAAGAGGAACCCUGAGAGCCAAAGUGGGUUUCAGGAGCAGAUGACCUCCCAGCCUGUUACCAGGAACUGAGAGAAAGGAAGGUAGUGAAUGGGUCUCGUGUAUGCCAGGUCAAGAGUGCCAGUCAACUUAACUUGCUAGAUUUGGUCAGUAGGGUUGCAGGAUCCUGCUGUGAGCUUCUCUUGUAAACAAGCUCUAAUUCGAGUCCUAAGGCCCAGGAACAAACGGAGACAUGUGACAUUGCCCUCUUCUCCUCGAAGCAACACUCCAAUGGGUAAUGGGAGGUCUGGGUUUAGUUUGAGUCAGGGAUUGAGGGGUGGGGGAACAUAGCACUAGGAUAUAUUGCUCAUGUCAACCAAGGACCUAAAGCCUUUUGUUUUCCUAAUUUUUUACUCUAGUAUUCAUCAAAGAAUUUAAGAUGGCAUGUAAAAAUGGUACAGAAAAAUCAAGCCAAGGGUACAGAAAAAUCUAUCACAAGGUCCCGCAUGAUUAUUAAGGAAAGAUCUUUUUUUUUUUUUUUUUAAGGAAAGAUCUUAAUAACAACAGUUACAAAAAUCACAAUGACCAAACACAAAAUGUAUGUGUUAUUUCUGGAAAAAAAAUACUUUGCCUAAAAAAAAACUUCAUUAAGGAUCCAUUUGGUUGCCUAAGGACAUGAAUCCUGAAUAAACUUACCUACUUCUAAGUGUACAGCAGAUGUCACAGACUCUUCAUGAUACAUUUGAUCAAGGGCAUAACAUUUUACAUUUUAGUAAAAGCAGUUCUAUUAUAUAAUGCGCUGGUUACUUGAUUCAAAAGUUGGGUAUCAGUGAGGCCAUGGAUAUGUUAAUUAGCUUGUUUGUAGUUAUCAUUCACAAUGUGUAUAUAUCUUGAAACAUUCACGUUAAAUAUAAAUGAUUUUGUCAUUUAUAAAGUUAAAAAAUGAAAUAAGUCAUUACAUAUUUUUAAAUAUUCUAAGUUACAUUAUAAAGAGC
rnacentral:lncRNA from 1 species